AGAAGCUGAUACAAAUUCUUGACACAAUGGAAGUACUAAAAAAAAUAAUGGUCUCAUGUGGCCCCAGCAUUGCAGUCUUUCUACCUGGGACCACUGUCUACACACUGAAUCCCUCUCUGCUAGAGGGUAAUGAUGGGAUGAUAUGGAGGAAGGGAGGAAAAGAUGGAGUUGGAGACACCGAGGGAAGACAAUUGAAGAAGACGUGUCC